rnacentral:rRNA from 2 species
UAGCACAGAGAGCUUGCUCUCGGGUGACGAGCGGCGGACGGGUGAGUAAUGUCUGGGAAACUGCCUGAUGGAGGGGGAUAACUACUGGAAACGGUAGCUAAUACCGCAUAACGUCGCAAGACCAAAGUGGGGGACCUUCGGGCCUCAUGCCAUCAGAUGUGCCCAGAUGGGAUUAGCUGGUAGGUGGGGUAACGGCUCACCUAGGCGACGAUCCCUAGCUGGUCUGAGAGGAUGACCAGCCACACUGGAACUGAGACACGGUCCAGACUCCUACGGGAGGCAGCAGUGGGGAAUAUUGCACAAUGGGCGCAAGCCUGAUGCAGCCAUGCCGCGUGUGUGAAGAAGGCCUUCGGGUUGUAAAGCACUUUCAGCGGGGAGGAAGGCGGUGAGGUUAAUAACCUCACCGAUUGACGUUACCCGCAGAAGAAGCACCGGCUAACUCCGUGCCAGCAGCCGCGGUAAUACGGAGGGUGCAAGCGUUAAUCGGAAUUACUGGGCGUAAAGCGCACGCAGGCGGUCUGUCAAGUCGGAUGUGAAAUCCCCGGGCUCAACCUGGGAACUGCAUUCGAAACUGGCAGGCUAGAGUCUUGUAGAGGGGGGUAGAAUUCCAGGUGUAGCGGUGAAAUGCGUAGAGAUCUGGAGGAAUACCGGUGGCGAAGGCGGCCCCCUGGACAAAGACUGACGCUCAGGUGCGAAAGCGUGGGGAGCAAACAGGAUUAGAUACCCUGGUAGUCCACGCUGUAAACGAUGUCGAUUUGGAGGUUGUGCCCUUGAGGCGUGGCUUCCGGAGCUAACGCGUUAAAUCGACCGCCUGGGGAGUACGGCCGCAAGGUUAAAACUCAAAUGAAUUGACGGGGGCCCGCACAAGCGGUGGAGCAUGUGGUUUAAUUCGAUGCAACGCGAAGAACCUUACCUGGUCUUGACAUCCACAGAACUUUCCAGAGAUGGAUUGGUGCCUUCGGGAACUGUGAGACAGGUGCUGCAUGGCUGUCGUCAGCUCGUGUUGUGAAAUGUUGGGUUAAGUCCCGCAACGAGCGCAACCCUUAUCCUUUGUUGCCAGCGGUUAGGCCGGGAACUCAAAGGAGACUGCCAGUGAUAAACUGGAGGAAGGUGGGGAUGACGUCAAGUCAUCAUGGCCCUUACGACCAGGGCUACACACGUGCUACAAUGGCAUAUACAAAGAGAAGCGACCUCGCGAGAGCAAGCGGACCUCAUAAAGUAUGUCGUAGUCCGGAUUGGAGUCUGCAACUCGACUCCAUGAAGUCGGAAUCGCUAGUAAUCGUAGAUCAGAAUGCUACGGUGAAUACGUUCCCGGGCCUUGUACACACCGCCCGUCACACCAUGGGAGUGGGUUGCAAAAGAAGUAGGUAG